GUUGACCAGGAGCUGAAAGGGCACCCGAGCGGCGCCGCCGGCGUUAGAGGCCUCGCACUCGUACUUGCCAGCGUGGGCCAGGGUGAUGUUGCGGCUCAACGUGCACAGAAGGUGGGAUGCAGAUGAGGCUGCUGCCAGAGACGUCCAGGAGACUCUGGAGGGCCAGGCGUGGAGGCUCUGCGCACACGAUCUUCCUGUCCCUGGAGCUGAGCAACCUCUGCCCCGCCUCCUUGAGCCAGUCUCCCAGCCAGUGCAGCGCGCAGUCACAGCGCCAUGGGUUCUCUGUGGACAGAGCAGCGGUGAGCAGGUAGCCCAGGGGCAGCUGCGACCACAGCCUGUGCAAUUGGGGUUCCACUGGCCAGAGCAGGAGCCCCUUCACUACCCCCCCCCCCCGCCCCGAGUCAGGGACCCCUGCCACCCCUGCACAAGCUCCUUGGAGUGUGGGCCGAGUCUUCCCUGGCCCCUUCAGUUCACGAUAUCUAGGCAGUCUCUUGUCCCUCCCAGUCCUACUAUUUGGGGGGAACCCUGGUGUCCACAUAGACAUCUCACCACCACUAAAACCUUGCAAAUACUGUCA